rnacentral:rRNA from 1 species
UAGGGAAUCUUCCACAAUGGACGAAAGUCUGAUGGAGCAAUGCCGCGUGAGUGAAGAAGGUUUUCGGAUCGUAAAACUCUGUUGUGAGGGAAGAACAAGUAUGAGAGUAACUGCUCGUACCUUGACGGUACCUCAUUAGAAAGCCACGGCUAACUACGUGCCAGCAGCCGCGGUAAUACGGAGGAUGCGAGCGUUAUCCGGAUUUAUUGGGUUUAAAGGGUGCGUAGGCGGCGAGUUAAGUCAGCGGUAAAAUGCCCGGGGGUCUCAACCCCGGCCCGGCCGUUGAAACUGGCUUGCUUGAGUUGGAGAGAAGUAUGCGGAAUGCGUGGUGUAGCGGUGAAAUGCAUAGAUAUCACGCAGAACUCCGAUUGCGAAGGCAGCAUACCGGCGCUCAACUGACGCUCAUGCACGAAAGCGUGGGUAUCGAACAGGAUUAGAUACC